UAUCUCUUUCUUUAUAGUAUUUUUUACUAUAAAGAAAACAGUCUUUCUGUGUAUACCUACAGAUGAGGGUAUUAUUUAAACUGCCAACAAUAUCCAAGACAUGGUCAAUAAUCUAAUUAUAAAUACUUUAGAAAGAGUGACCAGGACAUGUAUAGAAAUGUCUGCUUACCUGUAAACUUUAAAAACAACAACAAAAAACAAACAAAAUUUUUAGAGCAUUUAAUCAUUUUUUUUCUCCUUUGAAUGAUCUCCUUUGUAAUCUUAUUGUCUUCUGAGUAAAUAUACACAUAAAUAAGUGUUUGGGGAUUCAUUGCUGCUAGAUUAUAUCAGCUGUUUACAUAGUGUCUACUAUAUGCUGUUGAUAAGCUUUUUCCUAAAAAUAGUUAUCCUCUUUUGUAGUUUUUUUCCCUCCUUUAAAUCUGGCUAGAUUUUCUUACUUCAGUUUUUAUAGAACACCAACUAAAUUUGAAAGUAUGAAGUCUCUAGCCCUCUUAACACUGUUUCUGGCUGUUUAAUCCUUGCUGCCUUUGCAAGUCCUGGUGAAAGCAAUGGGGAGCUUUGCUGGCUGGUUUUGUAGUCUCAACAAUUCCAUGUCUGUGUUUAGCUGAGUAACUGCUAUCAUUUAGAACAGUAAAAUUUUUAUAGAUUUCAAAUUUGAAAAUUCAUAUACACUCAGUUAUCUAAUAAGGGGCCACCGACGCUGUUUUUAAAACUAUUUUGAAGUUAUAAAAAGGUAGAACAUCUGACUGAUGUUGUUCACAUAAAGAGACAGACAGACUAUCAUGUUGCAGACAUGAAAACAGCAUGUCAGGUUUUUCCUUUCCUUCCAUGCCAUGGGCUACCCAUCUCUUCCCACUAGAUCACCUGGUGAGGAGGGAGCACCUGGCUGACUCAUGCAGAGUUUGGCCAAUCAGAGAAUUGUGUGGUCUCUAGCUCUACUUUCCUUAAACAAAUCCUUUCUGUUUUCUGAGCUUCAGUGCUAAAACAGAUCCCUAAAAGGUAAUAGCAUCUUCCAGACUAGUUUAAUUAUUUCCUUUAUAAGAAUAUGACAUAAAUUUUUAUUAUAGAAAUAAUGUCAUUAUAAUUUUAGUGCUAGUACUUGUGGGUUUUCCGUAUUUGAAUCACCUUGAAAUUUGUUGCAUGAAUAGAAAAUACUUAUUUAUUCAUGUUUUCAAUCACCUAAAAUUAUUUUAAAUUUAUUUUGGGUUUGUGAGAGAUAAUAAGAUCAAGAACUUCAUCAUUUCAGUGACUUUCCUCCAACUCUCCGAAUCUGCUACCUCUUAUUAUAUGUCCCUUAGCAGUACUUUUCCAGUUAGGUUCGUUACCCUCCUCAUUAGCUAAACCUCUUUAUCUUGUGCCUCAAAAGAGCUUUUACUUUUCUUAGAAAUAUUUAUAAAAAAGAAAAAAACUGACACGCAUUCAUUCAAAAAAGUAUUUAUUGGGUUUCAGGGAUUAGAUACACAACAGUGGAAAAAUGGCAUCUUAGCACACUCAGAAUUUAUUGUGCAGCAGUUGUGUAUUUUAAGGAAUCUGUAGUUAAAAGGAAGAGAUCCAAAGGUCCUGAUAACAUUUCCUAAUGUUUCAGAAGAGUUGUCAUUGAGUAGUGUUUGGAUUUCCUCUCUGUACCCCUCAACCUACCAUUUUCUCCUUUAUUCUUCUAAGAUUGUUAGUGUUGUUACUCAAAACAGACAAUUACAACAUACCAGAUGGUGCUAUUCUAAUGGUAUCUGUUCACGUAAUUUAACAUUCUUACUGCUUAUACUAUAUACAUAUUUAAUUUUGUUGGAAGCAAGAAGGUUUUCAAGAAAAGAUAAUUUUGUAUUAGUGUAGGAAUAUAUUAGACAAAUGUUUAGUUGGUCAAAUUAUGCAUAAGAUAUUUGUAACUUUAAACAUUGCAAAUUGACCAGCUAGCUAUGGAAGCAUAAAAUUAAUUGAUAAUUAAUGUUGGAAAUACAUUUCUUAAAUUUAUAUUUUUAUGGUGUUAGCCCGUAAGAGCCUUUUAGCAUAUUGAAAUGCAUGCUGCUUAAGAUGUGUCUGGUUCAAAUAUCAAAGCUUGCUGGGUCAUUUUUACAUAGUAGAAACAUACUGUCUAUGUGUUGCCCAAUUGCUGUUUGUCUGUUCUGAAUUCUGGACCCUUUUUGGACUGGAAAUUAGUUAAAUUCAUGAACUAAGAGAAUUAGAGAUGGGGUAGAGUAGGAUCAGGACAGUGGGUUACAGCAGAUAGGAAAGGAAAGUCAGCAUUUGAGUGUAGAGAAAAAAAGAGGAUCAUAUAGAUGUCAUCAAAUUAUAGGCUUUAAUACAGGUUGCUUUUUUUUAAUUCAAAAGGAAAAGCACUUAUCCUAUCAGAAUGUCUACCAUGUUUUAUAGUAAUAAUUUGUGUAAAAAAUUGAAUUUUUGAAUAGUUUUUUGUAUUUUUUGUGAUGAAAAACUCAUAACAUAAAAUUUACCAUAUUAACUGUUUCUAAAGAAUACAGUUCAGCCAUGUUAAGUACAUUUACAUUGUUGUGAAACAGAUCUCCAGAACUUUUUCAUCUUGCAAAACUGAAACUCCAUACCCGUUAAACAACUCCCCUUUUUGUUUUCUCCUCAGUGGAAUAGAAUUUUGACUCCAUAUAAAUCAAGAAACACCUAAAUUCUUUAGUUGUUUAUGUUUGCAAGAUCUAAGAUCAUGGUAAACAUUAAGUUCUUAAAAUUUUUGGGAGGGACAGUGCACCUCUCCUCUGAAUUGUUAGCAAUUAAAUUGAGUAGGUUUUAAAUGUCUAGUCAUUGGAAGGGUUUGUUAUUUCAUUUUGAGCCAGAGGGGAGAGGCACAUUUUAAAUAUCAGAAUUAGAUUAGCUUUGAGUUUGUACAAUUGGGAACAUAAUAGAUUUUCAUAAAUUAUGUGUGCCUUGUUGGAAUGUCAGCUGUCUUUAUGUCUGCUUGUAAACGUUUCAAAAUAUGUUUUCCCUCAAAAAGGCAACGUUACUUCAUUUGCUUGAAUAUUAUGAUAGGAAUGCUUACUGAUAUUACUUGAUAGUCAUAUAUAGCCUAGGAACUUUAACAUAUGUAUAACUAUAGCAGUAUUAAUAAUGAUAGUUGUACUUCUUUAAAACAUUAAAUUUGAGGAAACUUUAAUGCUGUCUCGUGUACAUUGCUUUACUACAGUGAGGGGGAAUAUCCUUUAGAUUGAGCCUCAAUUUACUGGUUAGUAGUAUGUGAAACUCUGGUAUAAAAACGUGAACUAGACAGUAGAGCCGAUGAAUUAAAAUUGUAAAUUGCUACAUUGGCAUUUUCUACCUCCUUUUCUGUCAGAGUAUUACUUUUUCCAGCAUUUAUUCUUAUUUGUGAGUAAAGAGGAAAUGGGAACCUGAGGUUAAAAUUGACAUUUUUGUUUCAUUGAGAAUUUAAGCAGUAGGUACAGGAGAAGUGACUUGUCACAUUAAUUUGGUGCCUAAAUCUGUAACUACAAGUUGUGAUCGACAUGUACAAAAUGUCUAAGAAAGGUCAUAUGCUGAAUAUUUUACUUUUCCUGUAUAGUCUGCAUGAUUUGUUUCAUAAACCCAGCUUAUUUCCUCCAAAAAGCAAAAUGGUCCUGUAAUUUUUAAAGUAAAAUAAACGUGCCAUUUUGUCUGCAAUCUAUAAUUUCAGGAAGUUAUUGAAAGUUCUGACUCAGGGCUUUUUAACAGUUCAAGCAAUUGUCAGUUAUAUUUUGGAAACUCCAUCUGUGUAAUUCUCCAGUGCCUUGAAAGAAUUAUUAACUUGGCAACACUAUUAAAACUUUAUAAAAGAUGGUCUUUAGUGCACGUGUAUCAUUGUAUACACAUUUUAAAGUCAUAUUGCUUAGCUUGUUAAUAAUGAUUCUGCAUGUGUGCUGGGUUUGGGUAAUUCUUUAAAGGAAGUUUUCUAGAUUUGUACUUGAUGUUUGUUUUUUAAAAACUGAUUAUUUAUGGCCAUGACACUGUUACCAGAAAAGUAAUUCUGAUUAAGUUAUUAUGCAAAGUCAUCUAUAAGUAGCAUCUGGGAAGAGGAGAUCGAGGCCAGUUUGCUAUUUUAGUAUGAAAGGAGGAUCUGUUUGGGAAACAUAGAUUGUCUUCCCCUCAAAUGAGGGGGGAAAAAAAAAGACCCUUUGUUCAAAUGGAUUCUGUUUUAAAAAAUUAUUUUUAAAGGAAAUCACAAAUUGCAUGUCAUUCUUAAUGCUAGUCUUAUAGACUAAAUCCAUAAAAUUGUUUUUAUGUUCAGUAUGUUUGUGUCAUUCUAAAUGCGGCAAAUUCAAUGAUAGCAGUUCAAUUGACUCAUAGCAGUGUUUUGUAUUUUUUCUGAUUCUUUAGCUUUCAGUAUUGGAUUAAAGCCUUGUUUGUGAGUAUAGUUUCUGUAUGGCACAUGAUUUCUUGCUUAUUAGCUUUUGUUAAAGAAUGCUUAGUAAGAGCUAAGCUUUUAAAAGUAAUGCAAACAUUUAUCGUUAAUAAAACCUAUGGUGUAAUAUCAUAUAAUGCUUUUCUUUGAUCUUUUGAGAAUUAUUCUUUUAUAGUAGUAUACAUGAAUUUUGAUUUUUAAAGCAUUUAAAAACAAAUCUCAAUACAUUAAAAAACUUGUUAUUGUUAAAAAGGAAAUUACCAUGCCUUUAAGAAACAAGGAUGUACAUCUUCAACUCAGCAUGUGUCCACAUCUAGAAGGCUCUCAUUGCAGUUGUUUACAAUUAAGGUACCUCUAUCUAAAGGGCCAAAGAAGCAUUUCAUAUUUUAACACCUCACAUUCUUUCAGGAUUAAGACAUAUGAAAAUAGUCUGAAUAGGAUAAAUUUGAUAGGAAGUAAAUUAACCAGUCUGGAAGAUUCAGCUUUUUCUAAAAAAAGAUUAUUCCUCUUCACAACUCAGAUGUAGAUUUCAUUUUCAAGAGGUAGACAUUUUAAAGCAAUGAUCUAUUUGGGUUUUAGUUUUAUGAGUAAAUCAUUAAUUGUAUGGUUUGGGGGUUAUUUUAUUUUCCAUGUUAAUAUAAGCACUUAUUUCUGAAGUUAUUGAGAGGUCAUCUAGCUCCAGUUCAAAAGAUUAUGUAUAUCUGAUGUUUAAGAGGAAAAACAUCUGAAAAAAUAUCUUUUGUUUAUUUGAAAAAAGCAUAUAUAUUCCAACUUUAAAAUUGUGAAUUUAUUUUGAGUAACCUCUAAUUAACUGUAUUUUUUUUGUUUCUGUUGCUGUAUAAUUAGAAAUUUCAUGGCAAUAUUUUUUACUAAAUUGAAACUGUAUAGGUUUCAAAAAUAAAGACAUUUU
rnacentral:lncRNA from 1 species